UAAGGAAUAUUGGACAAUGGAGGCAACUCUGAUCCAGCCAUGCCGCGUGAAGGAAUAAGGCCCUAUGGGUUGUAAACUUCUUUUAGACGGGACAAAACCCCUUUACGUGUAAAGGGUUGAUGGUACUGUCAGAAUAAGCAUCGGCUAACUUCGUGCCAGCAGCCGCGGUAAUACGAAGGAUGCAAGCGUUAUCCGGAAUUAUUGGGUUUAAAGGGUGCGUAGGCGGACUAAUAAGUCAGUGGUGAAAGCCUGCAGCUUAACUGCAGUAUUGCCAUUGAUACUGUUAGUCUUGAGUACAGUUGAGGUAGGCGGAAUGUGUCAUGUAGCGGUGAAAUGCUUAGAUAUGACACAGAACACCGACUGCGAAGGCAGCUUGCUAAGCUGUAACUGACGCUGAGGGACGAAAGCGUGGGGAGCAAACA
rnacentral:rRNA from 1 species